AUGAGAGUUUUGAAAGAUGCCAGAACUACUAAUCAUCAAAAAUUUCCACAUCCACCACCAGAGAAGUAUUAUGUGGUUGAUGCGGGGUACCCAAACCGUCCGGGCUACCUUUCACCAUACAGAUGUACAAGGUACCAUGUGCAACAAUGGCAAAACGGCCCGCCGCCAGAAGGUAUGAAAGAAACCUUCAACCAUGCACAUGCCAAAGUUAGGAAUGUCAUUGAGCGGUCCUUUGGAGUGUUGAUGAUGAAAUUUAGGAUUUUAUUGAACAUGCCAAAAUUUCCAGAGGACAAGCAAACUAGAAUUAUUGUUGCUUGUAUGGCUCUUCAUAAUUUCAUUCGAGAGAGCAGAAUUCCGGAUAGGGAAUUUGAUGCGUGUGAUGCGGAUGAAAACUAUAACCCAAUGCCUAGUUCUUCUGCAUCCGCAUGGCCAGAAGACGAACCUCUUGUUGAAGAUAUCGACAUGAAUGCCUUCCGUGAUGAGUUAGCUCAUGCUUUGUUUCAUGGAGUGUAA
rnacentral:rRNA from 1 species